rnacentral:rRNA from 1 species
CGAAGACAACUAGGAUGUUGGCUCAGAAGCAGCCAUACAUUCAAAGAGUGCGUAACAGCUCACUAGUCGAGAGUCCCUGCGCCGAAAAUGUCCGGGGCUGAAACACACCACCGAAGCCGUGGAAUUGCUCAGGCAAUUGGUAGAGGAGCAUUCUUAAGACCGAAGAAGCUGUACCGUAAGGAGCAGUGGAGGGAUAAGAAGAGAGAAUGCCGGAAUGAGUAGCGAGAGAGAGGUGAGAAUCCUCUCGGCCGAAUAUCCAAGGUUUCCAGAGUAAAGCUGAUCUGCUCUGGGUAAGUCGGGGCCUAAGGAGAGGUCGAAAGACGUAUCCGAUGGACAACAGGUUUAGAUUCCUGUACCACAUAUGAACAGAACUGUGGGGACGCAUGUGGAGAGCACGAGCCGGGAAUGGAAAUACCGGUACAAGCGGAGAAGGAGUCUGGUUGGCAAAUCCGCCAGGCAAUCCGAAGACGUAAUGUGGAGCGAAUUAGAGUAGCGAAGCGUGUGAGCCAUGUGCCGAGAAAAGCCGCUAUUGUUUCAUGUGUGCCCGUACCGUAAACCGACACAGGUGGAUGAGGAGAGAAUCCUAAGGCCGGCGGAAGAAGCAUUGUUAAGGAACUCGGCAAAAUGACCCCGUAACUUCGGGAGAAGGGGUGCCACAGAGAUGUGGCCGCAGAGAAUAGGCUCAAGCAACUGUUUAGCAAAAACACAGGUCUAUGCGAAACCGAAAGGUGAGGUAUAUGGGCUGACGCCUGCCCGGUGCUGGAAGGUUAAGAGGAGAGGUUAGCGCAAGCGAAGCUUUGAAUUUAAGCCCCAGUAAACGGCGGCCGUAACUAUAACGGUCCUAAGGUAGCGAAAUUCCUUGUCGGGUAAGUUCCGACCCGCACGAAAGGCGUAAUGAUUUGAGCACUGUCUCGACAAUGCAUCCGGUGAAAUUGAAGUACCAGUGAAGAUGCUGGUUACCCGCGCCAGGACGGAAAGACCCCAUGGAGCUUUACUCCAGUUUGAUACUGGGAUUCGGUACUGCAUGUACAGGAUAGGUGGGAGACGAAGAAGGAUGGACGCCAGUCUGUCCGGAGUCGCUGUUGGGAUACCACCCCUGUAGUACUGGGUUUCUAACCAGCUGCCGUGACCCGGCAGUGGGACAAUGUCAGGCGGGGAGUUUGACUGGGGCGGUCGCCUCCGAAAGGGUAUCGGAGGCGCUCAAAGGUUCCCUCAGAAUGGUUGGAAACCAUUUGAAGAGUGCAAAGGCAGAAGGGAGCUUGACUGCGACACCGACGGGUGGAGCAGGU